rnacentral:rRNA from 1 species
AUUGAACGCUGGCGGCAUGCUUUACACAUGCAAGUCGAACGGUAACAGCACUUCGGUGGCUGACGAGUGGCGAACGGGUGAGUAAUACAUCGGAACGUGCCUAGUAGUGGGGGAUAACUACUCGAAAGAGUAGCUAAUACCGCAUGAGAUCUAAGGAUGAAAGCAGGGGACCUUCGGGCCUUGCGCUACUAGAGCGGCUGAUGGCAGAUUAGGUAGUUGGUGGGAUAAAAGCUUACCAAGCCGACGAUCUGUAGCUGGUCUGAGAGGACGACCAGCCACACUGGGACUGAGACACGGCCCAGACUCCUACGGGAGGCAGCAGUGGGGAAUUUUGGACAAUGGGCGCAAGCCUGAUCCAGCAAUGCCGCGUACAGGAUGAAGGCCUUCGGGUUGUAAACUGCUUUUGUACGGAACGAAAAGCCCUCUUCUAAUACAGGAGGGUCAUGACGGUACCGUAAGAAUAAGCACCGGCUAACUACGUG